GCCUACGGGACGCAGCAGUGAGGAAUAUUGGUCAAUGGGCUUACGCCUGAACCAGCCAAGUCGCGUGAGGGAAGACUGCCCUAUGGGUUGUAAACCUCUUUUGUCAGGGAGCAACGCCGGCUACGUGUAGCCGGACUGAGAGUACCUGAAGAAAAAGCAUCGGCUAACUCCGUGCCAGCAGCCGCGGUCAUACGGAGGAUACGAGCGUUAUCCGGAUUUAUUGGGUUUAAAGGGUGCGCAGGCGGAAGAUCGAGUCAGCGGUAACAUUGAG
rnacentral:rRNA from 1 species